rnacentral:rRNA from 1 species
GACGAACGCUGGCGGCGUGCUUAACACAUGCAAGUCGAACGGAAAGGCCCUGCUUUUGUGGGGUGCUCGAGUGGCGAACGGGUGAGUAACACGUGAGUAACCUGCCCUUGACUUUGGGAUAACUUCAGGAAACUGGGGCUAAUACCGGAUAGGAGCUCCUGCUGCAUGGUGGGGGUUGGAAAGUUUCGGCGGUUGGGGAUGGACUCGCGGCUUAUCAGCUUGUUGGUGGGGUAGUGGCUUACCAAGGCUUUGACGGGUAGCCGGCCUGAGAGGGUGACCGGCCACAUUGGGACUGAGAUACGGCCCAGACUCCUACGGGAGGCAGCAGUGGGGAAUAUUGCACAAUGGGCGGAAGCCUGAUGCAGCAGCGCCGCGUGCGGGAUGACGGCCUUCGGGUUGUAAACCGCUUUCGCAUGUGACGAAGCGUGAGUGACGGUAAUGGGUAAAGAAGCACCGGCUAACUACGUG